GGGGUUGUGGCUCAGUGGUAGAGUGCUUGCUUAGUACGCAUGAGGCACUAGGUUCGAUUCUCAACACCA
rnacentral:tRNA from 1 species